rnacentral:rRNA from 1 species
GUCCACGCCCUAAACGAUGUCAACUGGUUGUUGGGAGGGUUUCUUCUCAGUAACGAAGCUAACGCGUGAAGUUGACCGCCUGGGUAGUACGGCCGCAAGGUUGAAACUCAAAGGAAUUGACGGGACCCGCACAAGCGGUGGAUGAUGUGGUUUAAUUCGAUGCAACGCGAAAACCUUACCUACCCUUGACAUGUCUGGAAUCUUGCAGAGAUGUGAGAGUGCUUGAAAGAGAACCAGAACACAGGUGCUGCAUGGCCGUCGU